rnacentral:rRNA from 1 species
CCUACGGGAGGCUGCAGUGAGGAAUAUUGGUCAAUGGACGGAAGUCUGAACCAGCCAUGCCGCGUGCAGGAAGACGGCUCUAUGAGUUGUCAACUUCUUUUGUACAAGGGUAAACCUGCAUACGUGUCUUCCGCUGAAAGUACUGUACGAAUAAGGAUCGGCUAACUCCGUGCCAGCAGCCGCGGUAAUACGGAGGAUCCACGCGUUAUCCGGAUUUCUUGGGUUUAAAGGGUGCGUAGGCGGAUUGAUAAGUUAGAGGUGAAAUGUCCGAGCUUAACUCGGGAACUGCCUGUAAUACUGUUGAUCGAGAGAGUAGAUGCGGUAGGAGGAAUGUAUGGUGUAGCGGUGAAAUGCUUAGAGAUCAUACAGAACACCGAUUGCGAAGGCAGCUUACCAAUCUAUAUCUGACGUUGAGGCACGAAAGCGUGGGGAGCAAACAGGAUUAGAUACCCCAGUAGUC